CCGCCUCUUUUUCAUUCCUGCCUGAUAUGUGUAGUAUCGGUCAGGACAUGCUGGGUUCGCGGUGCUGGGGCGUUGCGGUCACCGGGCCUGGGUUAUAUUCCCGCCAUCCUGCCUACGGGCAGCUCCAGUGUGAUCUCAAUGUGGUCUGCAAAUGAUGAUCUUACCCCCACUGACUGGUGCUGUGAUGCCAUCUCCGCAGCGUUCUGAUGGACCACCCUCCCCUCACCGGCAUUGUGCAGCUUUCUCUCCAACCGAGCCUAACCUAUUCUGUUCUUGCAAUAGAUGCACGGGCCGGGGGUGCUUGGUGCGGAUCUGCAGGUGUCGGCUGUCUGUAACCCAGAUCUGCUGUAAUAAAGGUACAGCCCUGUCUUAAGAGCCCGGUGAUGGCCUUCAGAGUGUGGCGGUAACACUGGUCUCCGUGCGCGGCUAUGUGGUCUCGGGUGGCUUGUAAGAGGAAGCACAAGUUACAGGAGGUACACGGUGCCUCUUGCUGGUGGAGAAUGGACCUACUACUCGGGAUCUAGAAGGAGCAGUGUGGUGCUUCAAUGUUUCUACCUAUUGACCUUCCUGUGAUGUACAAAACAGUUUCUUUUUGCAAUAAAGAAAUGAAGCCUG